AACAGUCUAAAACAUAUUGCAUUGAUGGAGGCCAAUAUGAAAAAACUCUCUGAUUUACUGAGUAAGGGUUUGAGGAAGCAGCAAGCAAUGGCCCCAAAAGUGAAGGGUUUGUCAAGGGUGGAAUACUGAAAAACAAAAGGAAUAUAGUCAAUGGCGUCAACUUCAUUCGCCAAGCAGACUUUUGUGCCUAUGAAGGAAGCAGUGUCUAUCUAUACUCCAUAUCCACCUCCUCUUGCAAGAUAUGAAGAUGUUGUAGCUAGUCCAAAGCUUUUAAUAAGCUUAGACUAAAACCAUAUAGCGAGUGUCUAGCUAUAUCUAACUUAAUGUAUUAUCGAAUUCGCAUAAGUUUUAGUCUAAGGCUUUUACCAUAAGUUUAGAUCCAGUGUCUAGCUAAUUUUAUCUAAUUAACAGCCAUAUAGCGAGUAGUUGGAGUUUCUAGUUUUAUAGUUUCUAAUUCUAGUUUUAUAGUUUCUAAUUUUACCCGUCCCUUUAGCUUUGUCCCUGGUUGAUUCCUAUAUUUUGGUCAUCCAAAUUAUAUUUUAAAGUAUGGAUCAGGAUAAAAAAAUUAAGAAUUAAAAGUGGAAAACAGUAGAAACUAAAAUAAUACAUUAAAAAUUAUUAAAUUAUACUUGUUUACCCAUUUU